rnacentral:rRNA from 1 species
UACGGGGGAUGCAAGCGUUAUCCGGAAUCAUUGGGCGUAAAGCGCCUGUAGGUUGUUUAGUAAGUCUGUUGUUAAAGACCAGGGCUUAACCCUGGGAAAGCAAUGGAAACUACUAGACUUGAGUAUGGCAGGGGUAGAGGGAAUUUCUAGUGUAGCGGUGAAAUGCGUAGAUAUUAGAAAGAACACCGGCGGCGAAAGCGCUCUACUGGACCAUUACUGACACUCAGAGGCGAAAGCUAGGGGAGCAAAAGGG